CUCUAUUCCAGUUUGAUCUUAAUUUGAUUCUUUUUAAAUAAUACAAUGACUAAAUUGAUCCAUUUAAUAUUAGAGAGACUAAUUUAAUCUUAUUAGUUAAUUGGUGAGGCAAUAGCUUACCAAGGCGAUGAUCAGUAGCUGGUCUGAAAGGAUGAUCAGCCACAUUAGGACUGAGACACGACCUAGACUCCUAUGGGAGGCAGUAGUGGGGAAUUUUUUGAUAUGGGUGAAAGUCUGACAGAGCAAUGCCGCGUGGAGGUAGAAGGCUCACAGGUCAUGAACUUCUUUUCCAGAAGAGGAAACGAUGUCAAUAUUUGAGGAAUAAACAUUAACUAUCUCUACGCCAACAGUCACGGUAAUACAGAGGAUGCAAGCAUAGAAAGCAAAUAGGAUUAGAUGCCCUAGUAGUCCUAGCUGUAAACAAUGGAUACUAGGCGUUGUGCAUAUUGACCCAUAUAGUGUUGUAGCUAUCACGUUAAGUCUAUAUAUAUAAUAGAAAUACCUCUCAA
rfam:Gossypium arboreum cultivar AKA8401 contig_16727_3, whole genome shotgun sequence.